rnacentral:snoRNA from 14 species
UGCGACUAAUGCUGAGACAGUUUUUAUGAACAAAGGAUCGCGACUAACUCAGUUCUGCACAAAAUGCUGAGGUCCAUC